rnacentral:rRNA from 1 species
CCUACGGGCGGCAGCAGUGGGGAAUAUUGGACAAUGGGGGCAACCCUGAUCCAGCCAUGCCGCGUGUGUGAAGAAGGCCCUCGGGUUGUAAAGCACUUUCAGUGAGGAAGAACGCCUGGUGGUGAAUACCCAUCAGGAAAGACAUCACUCACAGAAGAAGCACCGGCUAACUCCGUGCCAGCAGCCGCGGUAAUACGGAGGGUGCGAGCGUUAAUCGGAAUUACUGGGCGUAAAGCGCGCGUAGGUGGCUUGAUAAGCCGGUUGUGAAAGCCCCGGGCUCAACCUGGGAACGGCAUCCGGAACUGUCAAGCUAGAGCGCAGGAGAGGAAGGUAGAAUUCCCGGUGUAGCGGUGAAAUGCGUAGAGAUCGGGAGGAAUACCAGUGGCGAAGGCGGCCUUCUGGACUGACACUGACACUGAGGUGCGAAAGCGUGGGUAGCAAACAGGAUUAGAUACCCUAGUAGUC